rnacentral:rRNA from 1 species
GGACGAACCUCUGGUGUUCGGGUUGUGUCGCCAGACGCAUUGCCCGGUAGCUAAGUUCGGAAUCGAUAACCGCUGAAAGCAUCUAAGCGGGAAGCGAGCCCUGAGAUGAGUCUUCCCUGAUACUUUAAGUAUCCUAAAGGGUUGUCGGAGACUACGACGUUGAUAGGUCAGGUGUGUAAGUGCUGUGAGGCAUUGAGCUAACUGAUACUAAUUGCCCGUGAGGCUUAACCAUACAACACCCAAGG